AGUCGAGCGCCCUGCUUGCGGGAGCGGCAGACGGGUGAGUAACGCGCCCCUACGUGCCUAUUGGUUCGGAAUAGCCCUGGGAAACUGGGUGUAAUACCGAAUGUGCCCUUCGGGGGAAAGAUUUAUCGCCAAUAGAUCGGCCCGCGUUAGAUUAGCUAGUUGGUGGGGUAAAAGCCUACCAAGGCUACGAUCUAUAGCUGGUCUGAGAGGAUGAUCAGCCACACUGGGACUGAGACACGGCCCAAACUCCUACGGGAGGCAGCAGUGAGGAAUCUUGGACAAUGGGCGAAAGCCUGAUCCAGCCAUGCCGCGUGAAUGAUGAAGGCCUUAGGGUUGUAAAAUUCUUUCAGCAGGGAGGAUAAUGACGGUACCUGCAGAAGAAGCCCCGGCUAACUCCGUGCCAGCAGCCGCGGUAAUACGGAGGGGGCUAGCGUUGUUCGGAAUUACUGGGCGUAAAGCGCUCGUAGGCGGAUUGGUCAGUCAGAGGUGAAAGCCCAGGGCUCACCCUUGGAAUUGCCUUUGAUACUGCCAGUCUUGAGUUCGGGAGAGGUGAGCGGAAUUCCGAGUGUAGAGGUAAAAUUCGUAAAUAUUCGGAGGAACCCCAAAGGCGAAGGCGGUUCACUGGACCGAUACUGACUCUGAAGAGCGAAAGCGUGGGGAGCAAACAGGAUUAAAUACCCUGGUAGUCCCCGCCCGAAAACAAUAAAAGCUAGUUGUCUGGGCACUUGCUUUUAGGUGACGCCACUUAACGCUUUAAUCUCUCCCCCCUGGGGAAUACGGCCCCCAGGGUUAAA
rnacentral:rRNA from 1 species